GUACUCGAGUGGCGAACGGGUGAGUAACACGUGGGUGAUCUGCCUUGCACUUCGGGAUAAGCUUGGGAAACUGGGUCUAAUACCGGAUAGGACAGCUGUUUAGUGUCAGUUGUGGAAAGUUUUUUCGGUGCAAGAUGAGCUCGCGGCCUAUCAGCUUGUUGGUGGGGUAAUGGCCUACCAAGGCGUCGACGGGUAGCCGGCCUGAGAGGGUGUACGGCCACAUUGGGACUGAGAUACGGCCCAGACUCCUACGGGAGGCAGCAGUGGGGAAUAUUGCACAAUGGGCGGAAGCCUGAUGCAGCGACGCCGCGUGGGGGAUGAAGGCCUUCGGGUUGUAAACUCCUUUCGACAGGGACGAAGCGUAAGUGACGGUACCUGUAUAAGAAGCACCGGCUAACUACGUGCCAGCAGCCGCGGUAAUACGUAGGGUGCGAGCGUUGUCCGGAAUUACUGGGCGUAAAGAGCUCGUAGGUGGUUUGUCGCGUCGUCUGUGAAAUUCCGGGGCUUAACUCCGGGCGUGCAGGCGAUACGGGCUGACUUGAGUGCUGUAGGGGAGACUGGAAUUCCUGGUGUAGCGGUGAAAUGCGCAGAUAUCAGGAGGAACACCGAUGGCGAAGGCAGGUCUCUGGGCAGUAACUGACGCUGAGGAGCGAAAGCAUGGGUAGCGAACAGGAUUAGAUACCCUGGUAGCCCAUGCCGUAAACGGUGGGCGCUAGGUGUAGGGGGCUUCCACGUCUUCUGUGCCGUAGCUAACGCAUUAAGCGCCCCGCCUGGGGAGUACGCCG
rnacentral:rRNA from 1 species